rnacentral:tRNA from 1 species
GCAUUGGUCUUGUAAGCCAGAGGUUAGAUUUUUAAAUUUCUACUGCU